UACGUAGGGGCAAGCGUUGUCCGGAAUCAUUGGGCGUAAAGAGCGUGUAGGCGGCCCGAUAAGUCCGCUGUGAAAGUCCAGGGCUCAACCCUGGAAUGCCGGUGGAUACUGUCGAGCUAGAGUCCGGAAGGGGCGAGUGGAAUUCCUGGUGUAGCGGUGAAAUGCGCAGAUAUCAGGAGGAACACCGAUGGCGAAGGCAGGUCUCUGGGCCAUAACUGACGCUGAGAAGCGAAAGCAUGGGGAGCGAACAGG
rnacentral:rRNA from 1 species